GAGCCUUUUUGGCGCUGUGGCUGUUGCGUGGUCUAUAAGGUUCUGCGGAGCGUCUGUCGGCCCGGGUGCGCGUUUGGCUCGGAGCUGCUCUGCCCGGACGCGUAGAGGCAGGGGAGGGUGGACGGAGCUCUGGCGGUCCCCGGUUAACCUGCUGACGCGUUGAAUUGCGUGGGCAGAGGCGGUGCGGUCAUCUGGGAUGGAGUGGCCGUGGGCAGGGGAGCGGAGGGUCCCCGCGCAGGCGUUUGAGAGCCUCCUCGAGAGCUUGGGACGUUAUUGCGCCACAGAAAGCAGACCUGUGGGCUGCUCAGACUGUUGAUGGGCUGCUGGGUGACUUGCAGAAUCACCUGAUUUCAGGAGCAGAGGGACAACUCGGCACGGAAGAGCGACGGAGGAGGCGAGCUGUGCGCUGUAAGCAGGUGCGAAGCGAAGAGGAAAGCGGGCUGUCGGCAGCUCAGCUCCUUGGGCCAGGCGGCAGCUGAGCGUCUCGGCGGUCCGCGGCGUGGCAGUCCAAAGCAAGGGCGGCCGGGUGGGCGAGCGGCCCAGGUAAGGGAGGGCGAGCUGGGACCGUCUGCGGGCAGGCUGUGUUUUUGGGAGGCGUCCGAGCGCGUGCCUCUGGUUUUGCGGGUGCCGCAGACGAGCCGGCCGGGGCGAAGCCGCACGCCGGCCGGCAGCCGAGAAGGUGAGGCGGCGGUGGGCGUUGAGGAGCCCGGUAUUGCCCGGUGUCUCGCUUCAUCUUUUCCUUCUCGCUUUGCAGGCGCUUUGUGGGCCCUCUGGACUGGGAGGAGCAUUUGCGGCGUCACCAGUGCUGAGGGUUUGUGACCACGCCAGCGGCACGACACGCCGACCGGACCGCCCUGGAGCUCAGCAGGAGGCGCUGAAGAGGAACCCGGCGACGCGGGAAGACGGCCGUUGGCGCACGUGGCGUUUUCCUCUGCCGAAGAUGGGUUCGGUCCCUCGGCCCUCUGAAAGCUAAGUGGAGGCACGAGGGCUGGGAAGGGGCUGGGAAUCGCAGGGACGGGGGGUUUAGCUCUGCUAAGGGCAAGGGCCGUCCAGGAACCGUGCCCUUGGUGCGGGUCAAGGGCCCGGGGACCUUUACCGUGCGAUGCCAGCGUGUGCCGGGCAGGGCAGCUCCAGCUUGUGUCUGCGUUGUGGUGUAGUUCGGGAAGCCUGCCUUGCGCCCGUCAGCCGAUCCUGGGGUCUCGUUGUGUUCCAGGGGCAGGAAAAGCCUCUCAGGUGCCAUCCCGGCAUCUGGAACGCCAGUGCCGGUUGGGCGCCGGUUUUCUGGUGUCGGCAGCCGAAAGCGAGGCGGGUUCAUGCCUUUCGGCCGCUUCUGUUCAGGGGUGUUUGUGGUGUUGUCCUGGGCUGUGCCGGCAGCUGUGCUCUCUACCCAUCCAGUCUAAGGGACUGGCACUUCUUCCCAGCAUCUUGAAGGUUUUAGGUCUUGUAGCAGCUUCUCGUAUUUGCGCCGUCUCUGUGUGUUUUGCGCCAGUGCCGCCGUCUCUGUGUGUUUUGCGCCAGUGCCGCCGUCUCUGUGUGUUUUGCGCCAGUGCCGCCGUCUCUGUGUGUU